rnacentral:rRNA from 1 species
CAGCAGCCGCGGUAAUACGUAGGGUGCGAGCGUUAAUCGGAAUUACUGGGCGUAAAGCGAGCGCAGACGGUUACUUAAGCAGGAUGUGAAAUCCCCGGGCUCAACCUGGGAACUGCGUUCUGAACUGGGUGACUAGAGUGUGUCAGAGGGAGGUAGAAUUCCACGUGUAGCAGUGAAAUGCGUAGAGAUGUGGAGGAAUACCGAUGGCGAAGGCCGCCUCCUGGGAUAACACUGACGUUCAUGCUCGAAAGCGUGGGUAGCAAACAGGAUUAGAUACCCCCGUAGUCCCUGUCUCUUAUAC